UGGAAGAAGAUUACCCCUCUGUAACCAUUCUCAAAACCUUCUACUUUGUUAGCCAAAAAAUAAUCUCAGGAGGACAGCAGCACUCCAGUGUCUCCCCAGCAGCUUCGGUCACCUGAGAAAAGUUCUGUCAGUGGGAUUAUUUCUCUGCUGGUAAACUUCCCACCUGACAUUCAUUUACAUGAUUGAAAUGUAGACUUCAGAUGCCUGACUCCAUUCCUUUCUUCACUGCUUGACUCCCUGUGUAGCCAUGGCUCCCAUGGGGAAGAUGUGUGAGGUGAACACCAGAAGGAAGCACCAGCACAGGAGUUAACCACAUGACUAGCUAAAGGUCUGGAAUGAGAAUAUCUUGGACUUAGUCCCAUUCUUUUUUGUAUGACUACAGAAGAGGAUUUGCAAGCAAAGGGAGAAGGAAAAAGUGGGAAAGUACUGUGGAUAUUUCUCAAAACAAGUUGACCAUUAUGGAUUUCGUGUUAUCAAAGCCAUGGUUGCAACUCUAGGCUGUUUGGACUCCAAAUCAUCUCAUAUUCUUCAGAUUCUCUGGAAUGAGUUAGCAGAACAGCUUUUACUGAAAAAAAAAUCCAGCUGACUGAAGAAAAGCCCUCAGAUGGGACUUUCUUCUGCAGGCAAACAGAUUUCAAAAUAUGAAAAUUCUCUGAGAGAGAAUCCUUCCUUUUUCCACAUAGCACUAUUUCCAAGAAACUGCAUAGCCAUGUUGAAGAUCUUUAAAUAACCACUGAAUACUUCUGUUCUACCAGCAAAGUAAUGUUGUACUUUUGAUUGUCAAAAACAUUUAGAUAAUGAACACCCAUUGAUUCCUCCAUAAAGAUAUAUGGGGGGGGGGGGGGGGGGGGAUGGGGAGAUAUUCUCAGUUCUGGAUUUCAAAUCCUUCCAUUUAAAUCACAGCAAUAAAAAGAGCACAUUGGACAUGGCUUAGUUAAUUCAUUUUGUAUUGCUUUUAUUUUGAUUUAAUGAGAAUGCUGUUAAGGAGAGCACAAUGCAUAAGGAGAGCUGAUGGCUGGAAAUGGGAUCUAUUUAGGUUAGAAGUCAGGUACAGAUAUUUAGCAGUGAGGUUAUUUAACCUUCAGAAGAGCUUACUCUUACCAAAAACUGUGGUGAAUUUUUCAUCCCUGCAAUUUGUUUUUUAACCCAGAUUGAACAUAAUUUAGGGCAUCCCUAUUAACUGGGCUAUAUGGGACAUCAGGCUAAUGAAUAGGAAUGU